GAGGGAAUCUUCGGCAAUGGACGAAAGUCUGACCGAGCAACGCCGCGUGAGUGAAGAAGGUUUUCGGAUCGUAAAACUCUGUUGUUAGAGAAGAACAAGGACGUUAGUAACUGAACGUCCCCUGACGGUAUCUAACCAGAAAGCCACGGCUAACUACGUGCCAGCAGCCGCGGUAAUACGUAGGUGGCAAGCGUUGUCCGGAUUUAUUGGGCGUAAAGCGAGCGCAGGCGGUUUCUUAAGUCUGAUGUGAAAGCCCCCGGCUCAACCGGGGAGGGUCAUUGGAAACUGGGAGACUUGAGUGCAGAAGAGGAGAGUGGAAUUCCAUGUGUAGCGGUGAAAUGCGUAGAUAUAUGGAGGAACACCAGUGGCGAAGGCGGCUCUCUGGUCUGUAACUGACGCUGAGGCUCGAAAGCGUGGGGAGCAAACAGG
rnacentral:rRNA from 1 species